rnacentral:rRNA from 1 species
AUUGAACGCUGGCGGCAGGCCUAACACAUGCAAGUCGAGCGGAUGACGGGAGCUUGCUCCUUGAUUCAGCGGCGGACGGGUGAGUAAUGCCUAGGAAUCUGCCUGGUAGUGGGGGACAACGUUUCGAAAGGAACGCUAAUACCGCAUACGUCCUACGGGAGAAAGCAGGGGACCUUCGGGCCUUGCGCUAUCAGAUGAGCCUAGGUCGGAUUAGCUAGCUGGUGGGGUAAUGGCUCACCAAGGCGACGAUCCGUAACUGGUCUGAGAGGAUGAUCAGUCACACUGGAACUGAGACACGGUCCAGACUCCUACGGGGGGCAGCAGUGGGGAAUAUUGGACAAUGGGCGAAAGCCUGAUCCAGCCAUGCCGCGUGUGUGAAGAAGGUCUUCGGAUUGUAAAGCACUUUAAGUUGGGAGGAAGGGCAGUAAGUUAAUACCUUGCUGUUUUGACGUUACCGACAGAAUAAGCACCGGCUAACUCUGUGCCAGCCGCCGCCGUAAAAC